GACGAACGCUGGCGGCGUGCUUAACACAUGCAAGUCGAGCGAGGCCCUCCUUCGGGGGGUGCCCUAGCGGCGAACGGGUGAGUAACACGUGGGCAACCUGCCCUCAGCUCUGGGAUAACUCCAAGAAAUUGGUGCUAAUACCGGAUGUGACCGCUGACCGCAUGGUCUGGUGGUGGAAAGAUUCAUCGGCUGAGGAUGGGCCCGCGGCCUAUCAGCUUGNGGUGGGGUCAUGGCCUACCAAGGCGACGACGGGUAGCCGGCCUGAGAGGGUGACCGGCCACACUGGGACUGAGACACGGCCCAGACUCCUACGGGAGGCAGCAGUGGGGAAUAUUGCGCAAUGGGCGAAAGCCUGACGCAGCGACGCCGCGUGAGGGAUGACGGCCUGG
rnacentral:rRNA from 1 species